GACAGCGUGGCCGAGUGGUUAAGGCGGUUGAUUCGAAACCAACUGGGUUUAUCCCGCAUCAGUUCAAAUCUGGUCGCUGUCG
rfam:Vittaforma corneae ATCC 50505 unplaced genomic scaffold supercont1.11, whole genome shotgun sequence.